AUGUCAGCGGAGUCCCUGUCUGGGCUGCAGGAUGUCGUCGGGCUUUUUCAGGCAAGAGCACAAGCAUGCCAAGGAAACCAGUGUUCCUGUGAGGGGAUGAAUGCCCGCUGGAGUUCAGGAGCGGGGACGCAUCCAGGGCCCAUCCAGGCCUCUCCAUGCUCCGUGUUCCUUCUCUUGUUCCUGGAAGGGCAACUCCUCAACACUUCUGCCUUCCAACCAGCUGGGCAGAAGAGGAAGACCUUGGACCCUCCUUCAGGACUGGGAAGCACCCAGGGGCACCUUACGCGAGGAGGGUUGUGGUCCUGGAGGGGAGAAGAUGCUUCUUGGAAGAGACUUUCCUGUUCUGGCCAGGCUGCUGCUCCUCCUCAGCCCUCAGGUCCCUCAGGGGCAGUGCUGGUCUUUGAUGGGCUGUUCCUGGCACUUCAGGUGGUUCUCCCUGACUUCCCGCCACACCUCCCUCCCACAGCUCUCCUCCUGACCCUCUUCAGCCAGGUGGACCCUCAGUUUGCAGCACCAGGAGGCUGGGCCAGAAAAAGAGAAAUGGCCAGAAGUAGAGGGUUCAGUGGUAUCAGUUAAGGGAUUAAAGUUGUCAUUUACUCAACAGUCUUAUAUUGAGCACUUAGCUUGCUUCAGGAUCUUGGCUAAGACACGGGAGACAAACCAGAGUGAUGGUGCCAACCCUCCAGGGCUGUUGCUUAAUGCAAUCAGUUCUACAGAAGUAAAAUAAUCAUAAUAGCCACUAAAUACGUAUUUGAAAUUUGUUUGCCAGGCACAGUGCUAAGUUGCUUUAUGGGGCAUUUCUUACUUGAUUUUCAUAAUAAUCUUAUGAAAUAGGUGCUAUUAAAACCUUCAUCCUUUCCUGAGGGUGUAAGUACAGCAUGGUGACUCUAGGUAAUAACACCUCUUUGUAUAUUUCACAAUUGCUAAGAGAGUGCAAGUUAAAAGUUCCCAUUCGAAGAAAAAACAACUUAGAACUUUGUAUGGUAAUGGAUGUUAACUAGACCUGUGGUGCUGACCAUUUCACAAUAUACACAAAUAUUGAAUCAUUACAUUGUAUACCUGAAACUGAUAUAAAGUUAGGGGGUCAGUUAUAGCUCAAAAAUUGCAAAAAGAGGAUACACAAAUUUGGGGGAUCUAAUGUAGAGCAUUACAUUAGAUGGUCUUCCCAGUGAUCACGUAUAGAUGUGAGAGCUGGACCAUAAAGAGGGCAGAUGGCCAAAGAGUUGAUGCCUUCGAACUGUGGUGCUGGAGAAGACUCCUGAGAGUCCCUUGGACAGCAAGGAGAUCCAACCAGUCAAUCUUAAGGGAAAUCAACCCUGGCUACUCACUGGAAGGACUGAUGCUGAAGCUGAAGCUCUAGUAUUUUGGUUACCUGAUAUGAACAGCUGACUCAUUGGAAAAGUCCCUGAUGCUGGGAAAGAUUGAGGGCAGAAAGAGAAGAGGACAUUAGAGGAUGAGAUGGCUGGAUGGCAUCACCGAUGCAGCGGACAUGAAUUUGGGCAAACUUCAGGACACAUUGAGGGACAGGGAAGCCUGGCGUGCUGCAGUCCACGGGGCCACAGAGUCAGAACCGACAGGGCAACUAAACAACAGUAAUGUGCCGCACGGGGAUCGUAGCCAAUACUGUAUUAUAUACUUAGAUGUGUUAAGAAUGUAGAUCUGAAAUGUUCAGACCACAAAAAAGAGAUGGUAAUUAUGUGACAGGAAAGCAUGUUAGCUAAGCCGUGCUAGUCAACCUCUGGUGACAUAUUAGCACACAAUCCACAUGUUGUACACCUUAAACUUAAGCACUGUUCUAUGUCAAUUACAGCUCAAGAAAGCUGAAAAACGGGCACUUCCCUGGUGGUCCAGGGGUUAAGACUUUGCCAUCCAUUGCAGGGGGUGCAGGUUCAAGCCCUGGUCAGGGAGCUAGGAUCCCACAUGCUUUGCAGCCAAGACAUAAAAUAUCAUAACAAAUUCAAUAAAGACUAAAAAUGGUCCACAUCAGAAAAAUCUUAAUUGAAAAAAAAAAAGCUGAAAAAAAUAGAAGAAAAACCAAAACAAAUCCCUCCCCCCACUCCAUCUAACAGAUGGGGAAACUGAUACUUACAGAAGUCAAGUAAGUUACCCAGGCACCCUCAGCUGGUCAGGGAAGACACCAGGAUUCGAAGGCCACCUCUGGACUCUGACUCUGGAGGUCACACCGUCAAACCACAACUGCACCACAUCUUCACAACUUCAGCUAAGGCAGGGGAGGUCGGUGGGGGAGUGGGAGUGGGGAGGUGGCACUCGUAACUGGGCAUUCCAGGAGGUCUUCCCAGAUCGAGGGACAUCAAAGCUGAUGUUACUCGCAGAGGAGCUGAUCAAGCAGGUGAGAUGUGUGGGAGGGAUGUGAGGGAGUGGGGGUGGGGAGGGCAGGGUAUUCCAAGCAAGGGGAACCGCUUGUGCAAAGACUAGGAGCACCUACGCUGUCUCCCACCUGGUCGGUGCCAGGUGAGAAGGUGGAAGGCCUACCUUCUAGGACCGUGAGCAUCUCAAGGACAAGGGCUAUUGUCUACUUGCCUGUGUACUCCCAGCACUCCACCUGGUGUCAGGCGUACGGCUGAUGUUCUGUCGCUAAGUCAUGUCUGACUUGGCAAUCCCGUGGACUGCAGCAUGCCAGGCUUCCCUGUCCUUCACUAUCUCCCAGAGUUUGCUCAAACUCAUGUCCACUGAAUCAGUGAUGCUGCAAACAGCAUCACAAAUAAUUCUGGACCAGGGGACUUUAAGGGGAGGUGCUCAGUGACAAGGAAGAGGAAUCAAGCUGGGAAAAUUUGCCACACCCGUUCCUGGCAGCACCUUCCCUUGGGCCUUGGCAGAUGCAGCAGGAAGACAACCAAACACUCCCCACAGGUUCUAGAUUGGACACAGUAUCCAAAUAUUCAGCCAGUGGCUGCUAACAUCUCUGAGGCUGCACAUGCCUUUGAAUGACUUGAGAAAGCAUUCCUGCAGAAAGGGCACCCGCUACACCCAUGUGAUUCAUCCUGGAGGGCCCCUCCCCUGACAUCCACCUGGGAGGUUGCCCCGUGUGGAGUCUGGACCCCCACCUCCCAUCCAUGCCUGGCCCUUCUCCCUCCCGACUCUCUGACACUUGCUGUGUUAAGUGACCCAGACCCUCCCCAGGAAAACUGACUGGUCUCGACCUCUGUCUCUCUCUUACCCACAGCUGGGUCUGCAACAGCCCGCUCCCGGACCAGACAGCCCAGCCCCCUCCACUUCCUGACUCAGGCUCCUAGACCCUGAACCUGAGGGGCUGUCAUAAUGCCAGAGGUCUCCAGUCCCCUGGGCCCCUCCCAUCAGCCAGCUUUGUUCUAUCCUGGCCCCUCCCUGCCUCUUCUGACUGGGGCAGUGGCCUGGGAAAACCCAGAGCAUCCAGGAUCUCCAGUGGGAACGGCCCCCAUUCUUGCCCAGGCUCAACUAGCCCCGCCCUACUCCCUGCCUCUCCCUUCAAGCCCUUCUGUACUAAGACUAUGUGACCUUGCAGCCACGCCAUCUGGCCUGCUAUCAACUCCUUCCACAAGAGGGUUUUUUUUUUUUUUUUUUUAAAUGUCAUUAGAACUUCUGUCUCCUCAGUUCUCCCUUGUCUUUAUUUUCCUUUCUAGUCUGCUUGGAUGACAUUAUUUCUAUCAUCCUCUUGCUCACUGGGCAGGAGGAGAAGGGGACGGCAGAGGAUGAGACGGUUGGAUGGCAUCACUGACUCAAUUGCCACGAGUCUGAGCAAACUCCAGGAGACAGUGAAGGAUAGGGGAGCCUGGCGUGCUGCAGUCCAUGGGGUCGCAGAGAAUCAGACAUGACUGAGCGAUGCGCAACAACUUGGUCACUGUAAAUUCUCCUACCACUUUGCCCUUUUCUGCUCCUGCUGAGCCAAACCCCAGCCCUGGAUGGCUGUGGGGCAGAAUCGCUCCAACAAAGGGUCCAGUGUUUCCCUGUGCGUGCGUUUCCUUCCCCUUCUCCCACUUGUGCUCAAAAUCCCCUUCCACCCCUCACUCACAGGGCCGUUUUCCAUUUCCCAGAGUUGAAGGGAAGAGAGACCAGCGACAGAAGGAGGACCCUGGGGUGGGAGGGGCUGAAGGGGAGGAAAGGGACUGCAGUGCUCACUGGUGCUCAGCAGUACUCCAGCGUGAACCUCCCCUGCCCCCACAAGGCCUUGGCUGACCUGUAGACACCCUCUGCUGGCCCACUGAGGCAGGAAGCUUGGCUGCCCUACAGGGCUGGACUCAGGAGAACAGACCACGAAGAUCAGGAGUCAGCGCUGGGCACAAGGAAGGCUAGGUCCCUGAAGACAUCCAGGAGGAGAUGAGAAGGCCAGUGGAUAGACUGAUCUGGAAUCUGGGAGAAUGAUCUUGGCAAACGACUUGAGAACAAAGUCUAGGUCAUGGGAUCAAAUGUGACCACUCAGGAAAUAUGUUUGAAGGAGAAGACAGACCGGAAAUGGAGCUUUGGGAAAUACCACACCUAUAGGAUAGGGGUGCUGGUGGUAAAGAAUCUGUCUGCUAAUGAUGGAGACAUAGGAGACGCACGAGUUGAGGGUUUGAUCCCUGGGUCGGGAAGAUCCCCUGGAGGAGGAAAUGGCAACCACUCCAGUAUUCUUGCCUGGGAAAUCCCAUGGACAGAGGAGCCUGGCAGGCUACAGUCCAUGGGGUUGCAAAGAGUUGCACACGACUGAGCACACUCACAUUCACACUCACACACACACACACGAUAGUCAUUGGAAGAAGAGCUUUUCUGAGUUUUCCUGUGGAUAUGAUAAUGCAAGUUGCUGUAAAGAUAUAAUAAACAAUAUGUCACUUAACAUAUAGCACUUAAUAUAUAAAGUGUUUGACAUGGUGUUGGUGCUCCCUGAUGGACCUUGAAUUUGUAGCAUGUUUCCACAGUGGUCUUCCUCCUGGGUCACGUUGGUUUACUGACAUCCCUUCAAGAGAAGUGACCAGAGGCCUGGACUUCAUCGCUGCUGACUGCUGUGCUCCACUGGACAGUAUGUUCUAUUAAUGUGGCCCAAGCUUGCGGUUGUGUUUUCAGCACUGCAGUCUGCUGGAAAGUGUUGGCUCAGCCAAGACCUCUGUGCUUUUGUGAGGGAUGCUCUGAAUCCAAGAGCCUUCAGGGGAAGAUGUAAAGGAAGGGACCGGUUCCUGUGGCAGGAUCCAAGGGCGGUCCUCAGACAUAGUGGCUGUCAUGUCCUUUACAGAAAGGGCGGAGCAGUUGGCCAGCACCUCCUGGCUCUGCCCUCUGGGCCUGCAAGGCAGGAGACAGGAAAGGUAGAAUGAAGCUGGUGAUGGGGAAUGUGGAAGGAAGAGGCAGGUCUUGAGGAGAUGCUGGGAUGGGCGGGGUCUCCAGGCCAGGGGUGGAUGCUCUGGGUUCCCUCAUCCGUGUCUCUCAUCCCUUCAGUGAGCCUGGGCCCCUGUCUGCUGCUUCUGAUGGAAGGAAUUUGCCUUUGUCUUUGGGGAGGCCAGACUCCCGGCUGAAGGGCAGUGGCUGGAGCAAUACCGCCCCCUCAUGGUCUAUUCUGCAACUGCAGUCAGUG
rnacentral:lncRNA from 1 species